rnacentral:rRNA from 1 species
UACGAAGGGUGCAAGCGUUAAUCGGAAUUACUGGGCGUAAAGGGUGCGUAGGCGGUUGUUUAAGUCUGUCGUGAAAUCCCCGGGCUCAACCUGGGAAUGGCGAUGGAUACUGGGCAGCUAGAGUGUGUCAGAGGAUGGUGGAAUUCCAGGUGUAGCGGUGAAAUGCGUAGAUAUCUGGAGGAACACCGGUGGCGAAGGCGGCAUCCUGGACCAAUUCUGACGCUGAGGAGCGAAAGCCAGGGGAGCAAACGGG